rnacentral:miRNA from 1 species
UGAUGAUGAAGUCAUGAAGAUGCUGAUAGUGAUGAUGAUAAUAAUCUUGUGAACUACUAGGGACAGCAGGUUAAUCACCAUUUGCAAACGCUUUCCAGUAGAGUUCUCCUUAAUAGUCCAGUAGAUCAUUAUCAUCAUCACUCUCAUCAUUACUACUAUUA